AGUGAACGCUGGCGGUAGGCCUAACACAUGCAAGUCGAACGGCAGCACAGUAAGAGCUUGCUCUUACGGGUGGCGAGUGGCGGACGGGUGAGGAAUACAUCGGAAUCUACUUUUUCGUGGGGGAUAACGUAGGGAAACUUACGCUAAUACCGCAUACGACCUACGGGUGAAAGCAGGGGAUCUUCGGACCUUGCGCGAUUGAAUGAGCCGAUGUCGGAUUAGCUAGUUGGCGGGGUAAAGGCCCACCAAGGCGACGAUCCGUAGCUGGUCUGAGAGGAUGAUCAGCCACACUGGAACUGAGACACGGUCCAGACUCCUACGGGAGGCAGCAGUGGGGAAUAUUGGACAAUGGGCGCAAGCCUGAUCCAGCCAUACCGCGUGGGUGAAGAAGGCCUUCGUGUUGUAAAGCCCUUUUGUUGGGAAAGAAAAGCAGCAGGUUAAUACCCCGCUGUUCUGACGGUACCCAAAGAAUAAGCACCGGCUAACUUCGUGC
rnacentral:rRNA from 1 species